rfam:Cephalotus follicularis DNA, scaffold: scaffold1207, isolate: St1.
AGGAGCGACCAUAUCAGUACUAAUGCACUGGAUCCCAUUAGAACUCAACAGUUAAGCGCUUGAGCGAGAAUUUUUCUAAGAUGGGCUUGUCUCAUGACUUUCAUAGAUUCAAGCUGGUGGCUUGAC